rnacentral:rRNA from 1 species
GACGAACGCUGGCGGCGUGCCUAACACAUGCAAGUCGAGCGAGGAGAGUUCCUUCGGGAACAAACCUAGCGGCGGACGGGUGAGUAACACGUGGGCAACCUGCCUUGUAGAGGGAAUAGCCUUCCGAAAAGGAAGAUUAAUACCGCAUAACAUUACAGUUUCGCAUGAAACAGUAAUUAAAGGAGUAAUCCGCUACAAGAUGGGCCCGCGGCGCAUUAGCUAGUUGGUGAGGUAACGGCUCACCAAGGCGACGAUGUGUAGCCGACCUGAGAGGGUGAUCGGCCACAUUGGGACUGAGACACGGCCCAGACUCCUACGGGAGGCAGCAGUGGGGAAUAUUGCACAAUGGGGGAAACCCUGAUGCAGCAACGCCGCGUGAGUGAUGAAGGUUUUCGGAUCGUAAAGCUCUGUCUUCGGGGACGAUAAUGACGGUACCCGAGGAGGAAGCCACGGCUAACUACGUG